GAUCAUGGCUCAGGAUGAACGCUGGCGGCGUGCUUAACACAUGCAAGUCGAACGAAGCACUUUAUUACAAUUUCUUCGGAAUGACGAUUUAGUGACUGAGUGGCGGACGGGUGAGUAACGCGUGGGUAACCUGCCUUAUACAGGGGGAUAACAGUUGGAAACGAUUGCUAAUACCGCAUAAGCCCACAGUACCGCAUGGUACAGAGGGAAAAGAAUCAUCGCUAUGAGAUGGACCCGCG
rnacentral:rRNA from 1 species